rnacentral:rRNA from 1 species
GACAGAGGGUGCAAACGUUGCUCGGAAUCACUGGGCGUAAAGGGCGCGUAGGCGGCUUACCAAGUCAGGCGUGAAAUUCCCGGGCUCAACCUGGGGGCUGCGCUUGAUACUGGUGAGCUUGAAUGCGGGAGAGGAUAGUGGAAUUCCCAGUGUAGAGGUGAAAUUCGUAGAUAUUGGGAAGAACACCGGUGGCGAAGGCGGCUAUCUGGCCCGUAAUUGACGCUGAGGCGCGAAAGCGUGGGGAGCAAACAGG